rnacentral:tRNA from 1 species
GCGUCGGUGGUUCAGUGGUAGAAUACUCGCCUGCCACGCGGGUGGCCCGGUUCGAUUCCCGGCCGACGCA